GCGGUUACACUUGUUCUUCAACUCAAAGAAACAACUCGCAAAAAACUUAUUGGUUUUGUCUAAUAAAGAAGUCAAGAAGGAGGUUUCAAAACUUAUUAGUUGAACUGGAUUAGUACCCAGGUAAAAUAAUGGAUUAGGUCAGGUAAAACCUAAAUUAAAUGGCAGUAUUUUGAUAAAGCAGAGAAAUUUGAAGUUUAGAAAAUCCUCUAUUGUGUUUAUUUCUUAAGAGUUUAAGUAUGGCUGUCCAAAAAUAAACAAGGGUUUAAAUUUGUAGUCAAGCAACAUUUAACUUAAGAAAAAACUUUGAGUUGCAAAAAAUAAGUUACAGAAUCUUAUUAAUUCACAGGAUUUGCAAGUAAAGACAACUUCUGAAAUGGUUUAAGUACA
rnacentral:rRNA from 1 species